rnacentral:rRNA from 1 species
UACGGAGGGGGCUAGCGUUGUUCGGAAUUACUGGGCGUAAAGCGCACGUAGGCGGACUGUUAAGUCGAGGGUGAAAUCCUGGGGCUCAACCUCAGAAUUGCCUCCGAUACUGGCAGUCUCGAGUGCGGGAGAGGUGAGUGGAAUUCCCAGUGUAGAGGUGAAAUUCGUAGAUAUUGGGAAGAACACCAGUGGCGAAGGCGGCUCACUGGCCCGUAACUGACGCUGAGGUGCGAAAGCGUGGGGAGCAAACAGG